rnacentral:rRNA from 1 species
GAUGAACGCUGACAGAAUGCUUAACACAUGCAAGUCUACUUGAACUUCGGUUUGGGUGGCGGACGGGUGAGUAACGCGUAAAGAACUUGCCUCACAGUUAGGGACAACAUUUGGAAACGAAUGCUAAUACCUGAUAUUAUGAUUUUAGGGCAUCCUAGGAUUAUGAAAGCUAUAUGUGCUGUGAGAGAGCUUUGCGUCCCAUUAGCUAGUUGGAGAGGUAACGGCUCACCAAGGCGAUGAUGGGUAGCCGGCCUGAGAGGGUGAACGGCCACAAGGGGACGGAGACACCGCCCUUACUCCUUCGGGAGGCAGGCGUGGGGAAUCAUGGGCAAUGGACCAAAAGUCUGAUCCAGCAAUUCUGUUUGCAAGAUGACGUUUUUCGGAAUGUAAAGUGGUUUCAGUUGGGAAGAAAAAAAUGACGGUACCAACAGAAGAAGUGACGGCUAAAUACGUG